GAUGAACGCUGGCGGCGUGCUUAACACAUGCAAGUCGAACGAACGACUAUUAACAGAACCUUUCGGGGCGAAGAAUAUAGAAGUUAGUGGCGGACGGGUGCGUAACGCGUGGGUAAUCUGCCUUUGUCAAAGGAAUAACUAUUCGAAAGAAUAGCUAAAACCGUAUAACAUAUUAAUAGGGCAUCCUAAUAAUAUCAAAACUGAGGUGGACAAAGAUGAGCCCGCGUCUGAUUAGCUAGUUGGUGAGAUAAAAGCCCACCAAGGCAACGAUCAGUAGCCGACCUGAGAGGGUGAACGGCCACAUUGGAACUGAGACACGGUCCAAACUCCUACGGGAGGCAGCAGUGGGGAAUAUUGCACAAUGGGGGGAACCCUGAUGCAGCAACGCCGCGUGAGUGAAGAAGGCAUUCGUGUCGUAAAACUCUGUAGUAGGGGAAGAAAGAAAUGACAGUACCCUAAAAGAAAGCCCCGGCUAACUACGUGCCAGCAGCCGCGGUAAUACGUAGGGGGCAAGCGUUAUCCGGAAUAACUGGGCGUAAAGGGUGCGCAGGUGGUUUAACAAGUUAGUGGUGAAAGGCAUAGGCUCAACCAAUGUAAGCCAUUAAAACUGUUUAACUUGAGUGCAGGAGAGGAAAGUGGAAUUCCUAGUGUAGCGGUGAAAUGCGUAGAUAUUAGGAGGAAUACCAGUGGCGAAGGCGACUUUCUGGACUGCAACUGACACUGAGGCACGAAGGCGUGGGGAGCAAACAGG
rnacentral:rRNA from 1 species